CCUGAAAGAUCGAUCCCUUGGAAGUGCAAAGCAAACAUUAUGGCAUUUGUACAUGAGCCAGUUCUUACUUUUUGGUUCCAUCUUUGUUCUAUUAUUUCUUCUCCUCAGCCUUCAUCAUACUGUGGGAUGAGGUGGAAAGUUUUUGAGAAGCUUGAACUUGUAUUUAGUCUCAAGGGGCAGAAGAUCUCCAGGUGUCAUGUUUCAAAAGGAGAGAGAGAGAGAGAGAGAGAGAGAGAGAGAGAAGUUCAACAUGUGGGGCAGGAUCCCAGCUUCAGCACCACCCAUAUCCACCCCAGAGUGGCUUGCUCUCCCCCUGAAC